rnacentral:tRNA from 1 species
GCAAUAGUGGUUCAGUGGUAGAAUUCUCUUCUUCCAUGUAGGAGACCCAGGUUCAAUUCCCAGCCAAUGCA